GGGWGAAGUCGUAACAAGGUAGCCGUACGGGAACGUGCGGCUGGAUCACCUCCUUUAUAAGGAGAAGUGAUAUGCAGCAAUGUAUAUCACAGGUUGUUAACAGAAGGUGUGAGUUUCCUGAUAGAGCGAAAUCUGCUCUCGCAAUUGAGUUUACCUCUGGUUUUUAAAGGAUCAGCGUUCUUUAAAAGUGAGGUAUGGGAUCGUGGAUGAGAAUCUCAUACUGACAAGAAUGCAAAUUCGUCGAGCUGGAUAAAUCCGCAGUGAUGCGUGGUUUAUUUCAGUAAUAACUCUCGAGAAGAAGCAAGUAAAUAGUAAAUCGUGAAAGUGUAGAUGAGAAAUCUAAACUGCAAAAGGGUAAGUAAGGAAGUCCUUUGCUCCGUUUGUAUCGGCGCCAUUUUUCGUGAGAAAGCAUGGAAAGCGGAUAAAGAUGGAGAGCGAGUAGUGAUAGGCUGUGAAGCGUAUCAUGAAAGCACGAAAAGGCCCGUAGUAAUAUGGUCAAGUAAGUAAGGGCCUACCAANGAUGCCCUGGCAUCGACAGGCGAUGAAGGACGUGCUAA
rnacentral:misc_RNA from 1 species